rnacentral:rRNA from 1 species
UGCAAGUCGAGCGCCCGUAGCAAUACGGGAGCGGCAGACGGGAGAGUAACACGUGGGAACGUACCUUUCGGUUCGGAAUAACCCAGGGAAACUUGGGCUAAUACCGGAUACGUCCGUAAGGAGAAAGAUUUAUCGCCGAAAGAUCGGCCCGCGUCCGAUUAGCUAGUUGGUGAGGUAAAGGCUCACCAAGGCUACGAUCGGUAGCUGGUCUGAGAGGAUGAUCAGCCUCACUGGGACUGAGACACGGCCCAGACUCCUACGGGAGGCAGCAGUGGGGAAUAUUGGACAAUGGGCGCAAGCCUGAUCCAGCCAUGCCGCGUGGGUGAUGAAGGCCUUAGGGUUGUAAAGCCCUUUCGGCGGGGAAGAUAAUGACGGUACCCGCAGAAGAAGCCCCGGCUAACUUCGUGCCAGCAGCCGCGGUAAUACGAAGGGGGCUAGCGUUGCUCGGAAUCACUGGGCGUAAAGCGCACGUAGGCGGAUCUUUAAGUCAGGGGUGAAAUCCUGGAGCUCAACUC